rnacentral:rRNA from 1 species
UAUAAAUGUAAAUUUUUAAUAUAAAAUUAUUAAUAGUUAUUUUCUUUAAAAUUAAAAAAUUUGGCGGUAUUUUAGUCUAUUUAGAGGAACUUGUUCUAUAAUUGAUAGUCCACGAUUAAAAGUACUUUAAUUAAUUAGUUUGUAUAUCGUUGUAAUAGAAUAUUUUUUUAGAAUUAAAUAUUCAAGAUUUUUAAUUAAAAAUUAAAUCAAAUCAAGGUGCAGUUUAUAUUAAAGAAGAAAUGAGUUACAUUAUUAUAAAUUUUGGAUUUUAUAUUUAUAAUAUAAUUGAAAUUGGAUUUAAUAGUAAUUUUUUAUAUAUUUAAAAAAUGAUUUAAGCUCUAAAAUAUGU